GUGUUACAAUUUUUGGAUACAAACGGACUUUAUUUUUCUUGGAUACUUUUAUUCAUUCAAUUAUGUUACGAUUUUGGAUACUUUUACUUAUCCAGUUUGCUUUUUUGUUUUUGGACACUUUUAUUGGACUGACCACUUUUUCUUCACUACCUGAUUAAGGACUGGAUAAGGGUUGGUGUUUAAACAACUUAUGUGUAUAAAAAUGUUGGUGAUGUCACUGGAGAGGGGGCAGGGCAUGUAGUCACACCCCCUUCCUCACUUUAAAAGAGCAUUGUAUGGUGUAACACAGGGCUUGAUAGUUACAUAGUUAAAUUUUCAUCUUUGAACACAACUACAACUAGAUUCAGUGUGCUGCUGGCUUUUUUCUGGAUAUUGAUUUGACCCAGUGACAGGAGUCGGUCUCACAGUACAGCACCUGACACUACAAAAGUGUGAUUUGGGGAGGUGAGCGCUCCACAUAAUUGAGCCUCAUCUGAAGUAUGAAGUGCAGUUUUGGACUCCAGUCCUUAAGAGCGAUAUAAAUGAGCUGGAGAGAGUGCAGAGACGUGCAACUAAAUUGGAACCAUGGCCUUCGCUGAUUGGAGAAGAAAUAGAGUUAAGGUGUCCCAUCGUUUCUUUUCUCCAAAAG